AUAGACCCAAUGACGAUACCUUUCUCACUUACACAAGAAAGAGAGCGAAAAUACCAUAACAAAUGCAUAAGACAAAGACACAAAUACCCAAUUUUUUGUCCCUUAGUGUGUAACCUGUUUUUCAAGAUCCGCAACUUGAGUUGCGAAACAAACUUUGACAGUUCGUGCCUUCAUCGUGUUUGGUGUUCGAAUUUUGGAUAUUAUUUAGUAAAAAAUCGAUACGAGUACAUUGAAAAGACGGUGAAAUUAUCUAAAUAUAGACAUCGAAGUAAAUAGAAUGGUGCGUUGUCGUGUUAUUGCAUGUAUAAGCGAUAGUGAGAAGAAAAUUGCCGGUGUGUCUUUUCACGCAUGAUCCAGACCUACGUAAUUAAUGGAUCGAAGUGGUAGAAAAGAUUGGAUUCUCACAAAAUAUUGUAA